CCGCCCCCCGGAUCUCCAGCUUCCGGCAACCCGGCGGGCCCGGAUCCUGCGCGGAGCGCUUGAGGCCCGAGCCUUCCCGGCCCGGCUGGACGCCGAGGGCCCGAGAUGAGGAAACUGAGGCCCAAGGAGCCCACAGUUACACAGCGAGAAGCAGCAGAAUCGGGAAGCAAACCCAGACCUCUGCACAUUUCCGCACUAGUAAUUGGGAGAAGCCCCGCUGGCUGAAUGGCAGCUGUGGACGACCUGCGGUUUGAAGAGUUUGGUGAUGCAGCCGCUUCUCUAGCAGCAAACCCAGAUACCACCACAAUCAGCAUCGAGGAUCCUGGUGACACCCCGAAACAUCAGCCAGGACCCCCAGGAGGCUCAGGGAGAGAAGAGGAUGAUGAGUUACUGGGAAACGAUGACUCUGACAAAACUGAGUUACUUGCCGGACAGAAGAAAAGCUCCCCCUUCUGGACAUUUGAAUACUAUCAAACAUUCUUUGAUGUAGACACUUACCAGGUCUUUGACAGAAUCAAAGGGUCCCUUUUGCCGGUACCAGGGAAGAACUUCGUGAGGUUGUACGUCCGCAGCAAUCCGGACCUCUAUGGCCCCUUUUGGAUCUGUGCCACAUUGGUCUUUGCCAUAGCAAUUAGUGGGAACCUUUCCAACUUCUUAAUCCAUCUGGGAGAGAAGACAUACCAUUAUGUGCCUGAAUUCCGAAAAGUGUCCAUAGCAGCAACAGUUGUCUACGCCUACGCCUGGCUGGUCCCUCUCGCACUCUGGGGUUUCCUCAUGUGGAGAAACAGCAAAGUUAUGAACAUCGUUUCCUAUUCAUUUUUGGAGAUUGUGUGCGUCUAUGGAUAUUCUCUCUUCAUUUAUAUCCCCACAGCAAUACUGUGGAUUAUCCCCCAGAAAGCCAUUCGUUGGAUUCUAGUCAUGAUCGCCCUGGGAGUCUCAGGCUCUGUCUUGGCAAUGACAUUUUGGCCAGCUGUUCGUGAGGAUAACCGGCGCAUCGCGUUGGCCACAAUUGUGACAAUUGUCUUGCUUCACAUGCUGCUCUCUGUGGGCUGCUUGGCCUACUUUUUUGAUGCACCAGAGAUGGACCAUCUCCCAACACCCACAGCUGCUCCAAACCAAACAGUUGCAGCAGCCAAGUUGAGCUAAAGAAGAAGAUCCUCCCUAAAUUUUCCUGCCUCACACCGCCUGACUUCAGACAGGGUUAGAGUCCGUGUCCUACCCUCUCACAGGACCUUACACGUUUCCUCCUAUGUGUAGCCACAUGCGUCUUCAAAAAUCUGCAAAUCUGACUGUGCCACUCCUCUACGUAAAAACUGUUUUUUGGCCUCCUGUUGUCUAAAGAACAGAAUCCAGACUCCUUGGAUUACGUGAUCUCUCCCUCUGUUCGUCCUGCCACUGUCCCCUGUAGAACCUCAUGUUUCAACAACCACACAGCGGCUCUGCAGCUCCCAAAUCGGUUUAUCUCCCUCCAUGUUUCCUUUAUAUGUAGUAUAAACACAGAGCUGUCACAAAGAACAGAGAGAAAGAAGGGUGCGUGGAGGUAGUUUUGGGAGCUGGGUCACAGAAAGUUACUGGGUUUGCAGAGAAACAGAGGAAAACUUUAAAAAAUGUCUUCUCCCCCCCCAUGGUAAGUCUCCUUGGAGCUCACAGGUCAGUCUCAGGCUGGAGGUUUGGGACUUGGCAGUGGAGCCACUCCGGUGCCGCGGUGCUGCCUCUAAACCUCUCUUUUGUCUUUUUGGAGUGUGGUUCUUUCGGACAUGGAUCCACUGCAGGAAAGUAGGAUAACCAACGCCAGCAGGACUGACAGAGUGGCACCAACCCCCAGCGUCUGGACAGUGCUGCACCAAAGCCUGGUCAUUUAUUUAACAAACAAAAAUUAAGUGUUGUUCAGCA